rnacentral:lncRNA from 1 species
AGACUUCCGCGUCCCCCGCGGCGCUCUCCCGCGUCCCCUUGGAGAUCGCUCCGGGGUGGCGGGGACAGCUGGUGCUUUUCUUGUCUGUUGUAAACUUUGGUUCGUUAUUAUUAUAUUAGGUAAAGCUGGUCUUAUGUAUUAAUUUGUUUAACCAUUAAAAAUAAUUGUAUUGCACAAGCAGGCCCCUUUGUCCGUUCUCGGGUUAAAAGCCUCUGGCUGUGUGUGCGAUUCAUGGUUAAUUCUGGAAAAAAAGAGAAAAGUAUACUGUAUUUAAAAGAAUUUUUAAAAUAUACCGAGCCUGUGGAUUUAUCAAGUUGCUUUUUGAGGUAGGCAGGAGGAUCACUGGAAGUCGGGAGUUCGAGACCAGCCUGGCCAAAAUGGUGAAACCCCGUCUACAGUAAAAAUACAAAAAUUAGCCAGGUGUGGUGGCGCAUGCCUGUAAUCCCAGCUACUCAGGGAGGCUGAGGCAGGAGAAUCGCUUGAACCAGGGAGGCAGAGGUUGCAGUGAGCCGAGAUCGCGCCAUCACACCUGAGCGGCAGAGCGAGACUCUGUCUCAAAAAAAAAAAAAGACAAAAAUUUGGAUAUAGUAGCAUUGGCCAUUAUUAUCAAGAUGACAAAAUGUUUUCUGGAAUGAAAAAGUUUCAUGCAAAGAUAUACUUUUCACCCACCUAGUUUAGUUUUCAAAAACGCUAGGAAAGAGCAUAUACCAAUGAAGUAUUUCUCAUGGGUAAUAUUAAAGUUGCUCAUUUUGUAAAUUGGAAUGGUUUUGGUUCCAAGUCACAGAAAACCCAACUCUUACGUCCUGAAACAAAUGGGCUUUACCGGGUGACAUCACUAGAAGUCCAAAGGUAAGACAGGCUUCAAGGUUAGUUUAAUUGAGAGGCUUGAUGAGGCAAACAAGUACCUCAUUUCUUUUUACCUCAGAUUCAUGUUUUCUACCUUGGCCUCUUCUCUACGUAGGGCUGCGGGCCCGUAUCUGAAACAUUAACAACCAUCAGGAAUGAGGUUGGUCUGGUUAGCUUAGGCCUGAAUCGUGUGCCCCACUUACUUUUCUUUUUUUCUUUUUUUUUUUUUUUUUGGAGACGGAGUCUCAUUGCACUCUCGCCCAGGCUGGAGUGCAGUGGUACCAUCUCGGCUCACUGCAACCUCUGCCUCCCGGGUUCAAGUGAUUCUUCUGCCUCAGCCUCCCAAGUAUCUGGGACUACAGGCACGUGCCACCACGCCAGGCUAAUUUUUGUAUUUUUAGUAGAGAUGGGGUUUCACCAUAUUGGCCAGGCUGAUCUCGAACUCCUGACCUUGUGAUCUGCCUGCCUCGGCCUCCCAAAGUGCUGGGAUUACAGGCGUGAGCCACCGCGCCUGGCCCUGUGUGCCCCACUUCUAUCCGGAGUAGAGACAUAUUUUUUCAAAGCACACAGGCCUUGUGGAAAGGUGUGGAGAACAGUAAAUGACAACAAUAACAACAAAUUGUGAAUCAUUAACAAGAGGAGUGGGAGUGGAUGCUUGGGAGGCCACCUCUACCGUCUUUUUUUUUUCUUUUUUCCCUUUCCUAUGGUGCUGAACCACCUAUAUCUUCAUUACACCCUCUGUAAUGAGGAUAUGUGUAUACCAAACCACAUGUGUAGGUCAACCCCCUCGUCCAAUUCCACACACUUCUAUACAAAGUAAAUAUUUCCUCACAUAGUAAAUCAAUAUUUGAGAAAGGAGACUUUACAAUUAAAUAGCUGCUCUAGGCUAAAUUAGUUUUUCAGUCUCCACACUGUUCCUAAUGAAGAAGACAUGUCAGCUGAACUAGUUUAGUCCAUUAAGUGCACACCUGUUCGUGUGAGUGCAACAUGGUUUUGAAAUCACUUCAGUUUUAAUGCUCCGGAAACAUCACUUCUCGUUUAAAAGGAUACUUGAAGCGCUCUCACAAACUGCUGGUAGGCAUGAAAACAUACGGUCUUUUUGGAAAGGAAUUUGGCAAUAUCU